CCCUUAGAUGUUCUGGGCUGCACGCGUGCUACACUGAUAUUGCCAAUAUGUCAUUCUUAUCCGGAAUGGAUUGGGUAAUCAAGUAAUGAAAUUUCAUGCUUGGAAUCGGUAAUUGCAAUUUUAUCGUGAACGAGGAAUUCCUAGUAAGCACUAGUCAUCAGCUAAUGUUGAUUAUGUCCCUGCCCUUUGUACACACCGCCCGUCGCUACUACUGAUUGGGUGAUCCGGUGAAUUAUUUGGACCAGUUGCGAAAUCCGUUGGAUUUCGUAGCCGCGAAAUGUUGUGAACCUUAUCACUUAGAGGAAGGAAAAGUCGUAACA
rnacentral:rRNA from 1 species